AUAUGUUUCCUUCAUGUCUUUUCAUGUCUUGAUAGUGUGUUUCUUUUUACUGCCAAGUAGUAGUCCAUUGUCUGGAGGUUUAUUUAUCUAUUCACCUACUGAAAAACAUCUUCAUUACUUCUAAGUUUUGGCAAUUAUGAAUAAAGCUGUUAUAAACAUCCAUGUGUAGAUUUUUUGUAUGGACAUAAAUUUUCAACUCAUUCGGGUAAAUACCAAGGAGUACAACUGCUGCAUUGAAUGGUAAGAGUAUGUUUAGUUUUGCAAGAAACUGCCAAACUGUCUUUCAAAGUAGCCAAACCAUUUUGCAUUCCCACUAGCAAUGAAUGAGAGUUCCUGUUGCUCCGUAUCCUCGCCAGCAUUUGGUAUUAUCAAAAGGAGAAGCUUUCUCCUUUCUCCAUGUGAGACGGCCUCUGUCAAAUUCUUUCCUCUAAAGCAGCUUCUGGCCAACAUGGCAAAACCCCAUCUCUACUAAAAAUACAAAAGAUUAGCUGGGCAUGCAGGUGCAUGCCUGUAAUCCCAGCUACUCAGGAGGCUGAGGCAGGAGAAUAGCUUGAAGCCAGGAGGUGGAGGUUGCAGUGAGCCCUAACCCUGCCACUGCACUCCAGCCUGAAUGACAGAGUGAGACUGUCUCAAAAAAUAAAAUAAAAUAAUGAAGAAAUAACCAUAAAAAUAGCCAGUGAGCAGCCCAUGCUGGUGUUCUGCCUAUGCACUGGCUUUCAUGCACGUCCGUGUAAAGAGACCACCAAGAGGCUCUGUGUGAGCAACAAGACGGUUUAUUUCACUUGGGUGCAAGUGGGCUGAGUCCAAAAAGAGACUCAGCAAAGGGUGGUGGGAUUAUCAUUAGUUCUUAUAGGUUUGGGAUAGGCAGUGAAGUUAGGAGCAAUUUUUUGCAGGCAGGGGUUGGAUCUUACAAAGUACAUUCUCAAGGGCGGGGAGAAUAUUACAAAGUACCUUCUUAAGGGUGGGGAGGGUGUAUCCUACAAAGUACCUUCACAAGGGCAGGGGAAUAUCACAAAGUACAUUAUUGCAAGGGUGGGGAAGGUGUAUUGUCACAAAGUUAAUUGAUCAGUUAGGGUGGGGCAGGAACAAAUCACAAUGGUGGAAUGUCACCAGUUAAGGCAGGAACUGGCUAUUUUCACUUAUUUUGUGGAUCUUCAGUUGCUU
rnacentral:lncRNA from 10 species